CAAACUGACUGAAACAGCAGUGAGCAGCCAGUGUUAUGAAGUAGUAACACUGGCAUCAGUGUGUUCUAAAUGAGCGAUGUCACGUCUUAAUGAGCUCCCGUUUCCUCCACAGGUUACAUUGGGGGAGCAGGGAGCUACCUGGGUGCGGCCUUGGGCGCUGGGGGCUACGGAACAGGUAACUGGGCAUUACAACACGAGAAAGCUGCUGAUUAGCAGAUGCAGAUACAGAUGCAGAUGCAGUACAUUUAACUCCCGUCCACAGGUUUGGGACAGGGAGCGUACCUGGGCGGUGCAGCUGGGAAGCUGGGAGGUGAGCGCGUGCAUGGUUGGUGUAACUGGGGCAUGUUCUGCUCUGCACCACGUUGUAACUCUGCUCAUUUUCUCUGAAAUAAAUCUUAGCUGCCGCGGCGCUCGGACAGGGAGGCUAUCCCCAAGGUGCUGCAGGGAUUUCAAACGGCUAUGGUGACGGAACAACAGGUUACUUGGGUGCUGUAGCAGGAAACGGCUUUGGUGAGUGGCAGCACACUUUCAAAAUAAAAGAUGCCAAAACCUGUAAUAUUCA
rnacentral:lncRNA from 1 species